rnacentral:rRNA from 1 species
UUCUAAGGGCGGUGAAGUCAGACCGGAAGGACUGGUGGAGCGCUUAGAAGUGAGAAUGCCGGUAUGAGUAGCGAAAGAAGGGUGAGAAUCCCUUCCACCGAAUAUCUAAGGUUUCCUGAGGAAGGCUCGUCCGCUCAGGGUUAGUCGGGACCUAAGCCGAGGCCGAUAGGCGUAGGCGAUGGACAACAGGUAGAGAUUCCUGUACCAGUGCUAAUUGUUUAACCGAUGGGGUGACACAGAAGGAUAGGGAAUCGCACGAAUGGAAAUGUGCGUCCAAGCAGUGAGUGUGAGAAGUAGGCAAAUCCGCUUCUCGCGAAGCAUGAGCUGUGAUGGGGAAGGAAAUUAAGUACGGAAGUUCCUGAUUUCACGCUGUCAAGAAAAGCCUCUAGGAAGAGUAGUACUGCCCGUACCGCAAACCGACACAGGUAGAUGAGGAGAGAAUCCUAAGGUGAGCGAGAGAACUCUCGUUAAGGAACUCGGCAAAAUGACCCCGUAACUUCGGGAGAAGGGGUGCUCUAUUAGGGUGCAAGCCCGAGAGAGCCGCAGUGAAUAGGCCCAGGCGACUGUUUAGCAAAAACACAGGUCUCUGCAAAACCGUAAGGUGACGUAUAGGGGCUGACGCCUGCCCGGUGCUGGAAGGUUAAGAGGAGUGCUUAGCUUCGGCGAAGGUACGAAUUGAAGCCCCAGUAAACGGCGGCCGUAACUAUAACGGUCCUAAGGUAGCGAAAUUCCUUGUCGGGUAAGUUCCGACCCGCACGAAAGGCGCAACGAUCUGGGCACUGUCUCAACGAGAGACUCGGUGAAAUUAUAGUACCUGUGAAGAUGCAGGUUACCCGCGACAGGACGGAAAGACCCCGUGGAGCUUUACUGCAACCUGAUAUGGAAUGUUUGUACCGCUUGUACAGGAUAGGUAGGAGCCGAAGAGACGUGUGCGCUAGCAUACGAGGAGGCAAUGGUGGGAUACUACCCUGGCUGUAUGACCAUUCUAACCCGCCACGCUUAGCGCGUGGGGAGACAGUGUCAGGUGGGCAGUUUGACUGGGGCGGUCGCCUCCUAAAGAGUAACGGAGGCGCCCAAAGGUUCCCUCAGAAUGGAUGGAAAUCAUUCGCAGAGUGUAAAGGCACAAGGGAGCUUGACUGCGAGACUGACAAGUCGAGCAGGGACGAAAGUCGGGCUUAGUGAUCCGGUGGUUCCGCAUGGAAGGGCCAUCGCUCAACGGAUAAAAGCUACCCCGGGGAUAACAGGCUUAUCUCCCCCAAGAGUCCACAUCGACGGGGAGGUUUGGCACCUCGAUGUCGGCUCGUCGCAUCCUGGGGCUGUAGUCGGUC